rnacentral:rRNA from 1 species
AUUGAACGCUGGCGGCAGGCCUAACACAUGCAAGUCGAGCGGAUGAAGGGAGCUUGCUCCUGGAUUCAGCGGCGGACGGGUGAGUAAUGCCUAGGAAUCUGCCUGGUAGUGGGGGAUAACGUCCGGAAACGGGCGCUAAUACCGCAUACGUCCUGAGGGAGAAAGUGGGGGAUCUUCGGACCUCCCGCUAUCAGAUGAGCCUAGGUCGGAUUAGCUAGUUGGUGGGGUAAAGGCCUACCAAGGCGACGAUCCGUAACUGGUCUGAGAGGAUGAUCAGUCACACUGGAACUGAGACACGGUCCAGACUCCUACGGGAGGCAGCAGUGGGGAAUAUUGGACAAUGGGCGAAAGCCUGAUCCAGCCAUGCCGCGUGUGUGAAGAAGGUCUUCGGAUUGUAAAGCACUUUAAGUUGGGAGGAAGGGCAGUAAGUUAAGACCUUGCUGUUUUGACGUUACCAACAGAAUAAGCACCGGAUAACUUCGUG